UGAUGAGGAGGAGGAUAAGGUAUAUAUGAAAAGACACAACCACCAGCAGCUUCAUUACAAUGAUAGAUUUGACAUUUUUGCUGUUAGUCAGUACUACGUUAUCACAAGCGAGUGCUGACUCUAAAGUCUGUGACUUUGAACAUGGCCUGGGUACGAAUUCAUGUCCAUGGUACAAUGUUGAGGGAGUUGAUGAUUACAACUGGAUUGUCCGCAAUUCCUUGACGUAUAAUAAGUUAUAAAACAGAAGAGCUUUUUAAUUGUGUUCAAGUAGACAAAAUAUCGUUUCAAGAUAAAGAACUUAUUUGAUCUCUUGCAACACUGAGUGAGUUUUUGUAAAUGGAGAACAGGAUAGCUUGGUAAAGCGAGUAAGAUAAUAAAUAUUGGUUGUUACUUAAUGUAA